rnacentral:rRNA from 1 species
GACCAGACUCCUACGGGAGGCAGCAGUGGGGGAUAUUGCACAAUGGGGGGAACCCUGAUGCAGCGACGCCGCGUGGGUGAAGAAGCGCCUCGGCGCGUAAAGCCCUAUCGGCAGGGGAGAAGAAAUGACGGUACCUGAAUAAGAAGCACCGGCUAAAUACGUGCCAGCAGCCGCGGGAAUACGUAUGGGGCAAGCGUUAUCCGGAUUUACUGGGCGUAAAGGGAGCGCAGGCGGCGCGCCAAGUCUGAUGUGAAACCCCGGGGCUCAACCCCGGGCAUGCAUUGGAAACUGGCGGGCUGGAGUGCCGGAGAGGUAAGCGGAAUUCCUAGUGUAGCGGUGAAAUGCGUAGAUAUUAGGAGGAACACCAGUGGCGAAGGCGGCUUACUGGACGGCAACUGACGCUGAGGCUCGAAAGCGUGGGGAGCAAACAGGAUUAGAUACCCUAGUAU